AACGUAGGGGGCGAGCGUUGCCCGGAUUCACUGGGCGUAAAGCGGGUGUAGGCGGUUCUUUAAGUCGGAUGUGAAAUCCUACGGCUCAACCGUGGAACUGCAUCCGAUACUGGGGAACUUGAGGACGGUAGAGGUCGGUGGAAUUCCAGGUGUACCGGUGAAAUGGGCAGAUAUCUGGAGGAACACCAGUGGCGAAAGCGGCCACCUGGACUGCACCUGACGCUGACACGCGAAAGCUAGGGGAGCGAACGGG
rnacentral:rRNA from 1 species